rnacentral:lncRNA from 1 species
AGAUUCCAACAUCCUCAAUAUUCUUAAAAUGGUUAACAGAAAGAUCAAGCUCUAGAAGGUCAGGCAUAAUUGGAACCGAAGAAUGCAGCAUGUUUCCUGAGAGAUCAAGGACUCUUAAGGAACUCAUGUUACUGAAAACAGAUGGAAAUAUGCCUUCAAUUGAAUUCCAGCUAAGAUCCAGGUGUUGGAUGUUAGAAAGCAUACUGAUAUUAAAAUGAGCGGAAGAUAGAAAAGUCUUAUCAAGCCCACAAAGUGACAAAUGCAGCUCUGAUAAAGAAGGGAUCAUGUUUAGCACGUUUGCAAAGUUCCAUGCCAAACUAAGAUCAAAUUCAGAAAGAUCUAGGAAUGCUAGGGAUGUCAUGUUUCGGAAAAAUCCAGGGAGUGGGCCUUUGAAAGAAUUGAAGCCAAGAUCAAGGUGUUUUAUGUUGGCAAGAAUUCUACUCGAAUUAAAAAAAGGAACAAGAUGGACAUUGGAAAGUCCACAACCAUGCAAACUUAACUCUUUUAACGAAGGAAGAUUGUAAAGCACCAUGUCCAUGUUCUUUGCUCCGCCAAGAUCCACCCAACUCAAAUCGAGAUGCUCGAGUGAUGGAAGGCCAAAAGUCCACGACAUAUCAUCCGACAUCAGCUCAACAUUCAAACUGAGAUCCAAAACCUUUAAAUUAGAAAGAUUUCCAAUGUGAGGAGGAAUAAUACCUUGAAAACUAGCAUGAGAGAGAUUGAGAUAUCUUAGCUCUUUGAAGGAACCAAUGAACUCAGGGAUCCGGCUUCCAUGUAAAUGUACAUAAUAAUCAAAUAAAAAAAAAUAACCAUGUGUCCCUUUUUGAGUUUUUGUUUAUAUCAACCUAAUCUUAAAACUUCAUUCAACACAAAAAAAUGUGACAUUUAGGUAUAAAUGGUUUAUUCUUGUCUUGAUAGUUAUUAACUUAAUGGAUUUUUUUGGCUUGGAAUUCGACUUCUAAGAGAUCUAACAUUAUGGUUGGGGGUAUUUCAGAGAAACAUUGUUGAAUCCAAACAAAUGCAUGAUUUCCAAUUUGUGAAAAUCAUAUUCUUUAAGCUAGGAUAGGGGGAAACAACAAAAAAAUACAUAUGUUUUUUCUUUGUAGAUCUAAAAUUCUUAGACUUUUGGCCCUAAGACCUUCUGUUAUACUCUCCAUGACAACGAUCAUGGUGAGCUUCCAGAUCAGCCACCGGAGCAACCACGAACCACCUCACCACAACCGGAGUACUCUCCACUGAUAACGAAGAGAAAUAACUAAGAGAGAGACAGAAGAAGGCUGAGAGAGAGAAGAAAUUGGUCAAGAAGCCAUGAUUAGGCGUUGCGUUUCAUCUUCAGCACCAUGAGCCAUCACGAAAACGACGAACCACGACCGGAGAGGGUGGUCUGCACGGUCGUUGUCUGUGGCCACGUAGACCACAACUCGGUUCGUGGUCCAUAUAUUGGACGGCCUAAACAUUUUUGUUUUUGAAACAUGGUACGUCUUACUUCACCACUUUGUAUGUUGGUCCCACUAGAUAAAAAAAAGUGUUCUUACCUAUUUUAUCCUUAUUCAGAGCCAAGUAUAGGGAUUUUUUUACUAGUUAUGUAUUUGACUAAUAGUUUGUUCUUAAUGGGCCAAACAUGUAAAAAUACUAUUUUAGCUAAAAAGGAAACAUUUCAAAUAGAUCAAACAUUUUAAUAGAAAUCCAUAGUNUAAUAGUUUGUUCUUAAUGGGCCAAACACGUAAAAAUACUAUUUUAGCUAAAAAGGAAACAUUUCAAAUAGAUCAAACAUUUUAAUAGAAAUCCAUAGUAUAUUGAAGUAUUUUCAACCAUCCUAACUUGCUUUAAUUAGUCCAAACAAUUUGAUCAUGUUUUAAUACCCUAAUCUUAUUCAUAUUUAAUAUAUUAAUUAUAUAUGAAAUUGAAAAAAGUGUUUGCAGGUUAGCCCAAUAUGGUUAAACGGUAUCUUACGGUUUGUGUUUUGAUAUUGCAUCCUACAUGCCAAUUUUGCCACAUAUAAGGCUAAUAUAUCUAGAACCAUCGAUUUUUGUGGAAAAGUACGCAAGGUAAUUAGGUAUUGUGACAAACUUAUUUUAUGAAGAAAUAAAUAGGAGAUAUAAAUAUUCUUUCCCAUGAAUUGCCUACCUUCUUUACUUUUUUGAAGGAUUGGCUAUAGCUAUAUUGUUUUUGUAUUACAAUUUGCAUCGUGGUAUGUUUUUCAUCUUGUUUAACUAUGUUCUUACUCAUAAAAUUGCUUUGUUUGAACUUACGCUUAGUUUCAGGAUUAGUUUGACUAGUAACUUUGAAUAAUAUUUGAUAAGUAGUGGAGCCUUGUUGAUGAAAUCAAUGUGAUUAACAUUAAAUAUCUGGUCAGCAGUGGAACCUUGUCAUAUCAUCAUCUUGUUAAUUGUUUGGUCAUGUAUGCUAAAAAAUCAAAUUACAAAAAGAUGAUGAAGGUAUCAAAAGAAACAAGGAAGCAGGAUCGAAGAUGGACAUUUGCAUUUUACAAGCUGAAUGUACAACCUUUAAUAUAAGACUAUUCUCAAAGAGGAUGGGGAGUGGGGAGGGGAAGAAAAUUGAUCCAGGUCUUAUGCAUUCCAAAUGCAGGUACAUUCCUACAUAAUAAAGGAGGCUUAAAAGAGAAGAAAAGUGAUACCGAAGAUGCAUAUGAGGAACUAAUCUUGGAAGAACUACAGAAAACACAUACUUAACUAUUUGAAAAAUAGCCAAGGCAUGCAACUUAAAUGAAUCCCAGACCAUAAAUUUCCCAAGCCACCAUUUGCAAAAGUGUGCUUCACCUGAAAAAAAAAUGAAAAAUGAAAACGAUAUCGUUUUGGACGUUGUUGACUGUGGAAAGUGAAAUCAUCUGUGAUUUAAAAAAAAUGUAUUAUCAUGUCAUGUUGACUGCGAAAUUCAAAGACCAUACUGUGAAAAUCAUAACCUAUGGUAUGAAAAUUUGCACAUUGUAGAGGAUGUUAUCUUAUAAGAGAUUGCUUUGUAAAAAAGAGUUAUCAAAACCAAUUGUCUGCAUUUUUUAGCACAAUUUUCACUAUGUUUUUUCUUCUGAUUUCCUUAGCAAUUUUUUCCACCUUACCCUUUUGCUCUUGCCGAGAUAACAUGAGUUCAAACAUUGUACAUGACUAAUUGUUGUUUUUUGUUGGUGGUUGAUGGCAGUUAGAAACAACAUGUUUAUACAAUGCAACAAAUCGAUAUGUUGUUGGUGGGAACCGAUCUAGCAGCAGAAGAGGGUCCGGUAGUAAAAGAUGGAAAAAGUUUUGCUAAGAACAGAUACAUAGAAGAGGUAGCAACAAUCAAAUAGGUAUCUGUAUCUCUCUAAAUGAUUAUCACGAUGUUGGUGGAUAUGUUGCGUUCCAAUAACAACUCAAUUCACAAGUAGUUUCUGAAAACCAAUACACGUAUUGACAAAUUCAAUAUGUUGAUCCCAGAAGAUAUUCUGUACCAUAUCAAACACUAAUACCACCAUAUCAAACGUCGAUAACACCAUUUGAAAGGCCGAUUGUAUAAUAUCAAAUGCCAAUUAUACAAUACAACCUAUUUUUCCAUUCUAAAAAGUGGGUCGCCGAAAGGAGAGGAAAGUGGUAUUGAAGAUGCAUAUAUAUGUGUAACUAACCUUGGAAUAACUGUAGGAAACAUACACUCAACUACUAGAAAAAUGGACUAUGGUCUGUAACUCAAAUGAGUCCAUGAACCGCAAUUAACUAUUUUUGUUGAUUAUCAAGACUAGCUAAGAGUAAACGUAAAUAAGAAUAAAAGGCAAAUACAAGUAGAAAGAAGUAUAUUGAAUCAAAUUGUAUCUGAAUUGAAAGCAACAAAAAGGAAUAUCAAGAUGUUAAACCCAUGAAAUCUCAAACCCAUUGAAAAUCUUGCAGCAUGACAAUGCUCAAAGACACAUCAAGGGCUUACACUCAAGAAAAAAGGUGAUAAAACAAAAAACCUAUUGCUUUUGUGUAUGCUCGACGGCUUUGAGUUAUCUUAUUAUUUAUUGCACAUCUUGAUGUGUCUGAGCAUGUUGAUGUUGUAAUUUAAUAACUUUGCAUCAGUUCUGUACUCUUCUCUUUGCGUAACCAUUUUAUUUCAGCUUCCCUUUGGAUUUCAAUUCUAUGUUACCUGCUGAGUUGAUUUAAGUCCCACCUUCAAAUUUUCUUCAAAAGUUACCUCUUGGUAAACCCCUCAUAAGAAAUGUUCAUGCACAAACUCCCACCUAUUCAAUAAAUCUUGCUAAAUCCCUGAACCAAAUCACAGAAACCAAUAAAAGAUGAAUGUGUAAGAAACUAAACACCACCAAAAACCACAACAACCAUGCAUGUACGGUGUUGUUUAUCAUUCAUAAUAACAUAACCAAGACCAAAACUUUCCCCCUUUGCAUGAAAAAAGAAAAAGAAAAUUUACAAAUAAAAAAAUAGAUAAUAAGUGGAUACCUGAUUCUUACUUAACUAUUUGAAAAAUAGACCAAGAUAUGUAACUUAAAUGAGUCCUUGAUUUUACAAUUAACUAUUGUUGUUGAUGAUCAAGACGAACCAAGAGUAAAAGUAACAAUUUGGAAAAGCAAAAUACAAAAAGAAAGAAGUAUAGGCAAUAAACUCGUAUUUGAUUUGAAAGCAAUAAAAAGGAAAAUCAAGAUGUUGACCACAGGAAUUGUCAAACGCAUGGAAAUUCUUGCAGCAUGACAAUGCUCAAAGACACAUCUACGGCUUAAACACUCAAGAAAAAAGCAAUAACACAACCUUGACUGCUUUUAAGUUUUUUUCUUUAUUGAUUCCAUAUAAUGAUGUGUCUCCAAUAAUGAUGUGUCUGACCAUUUACAUGUUGUAACUCGAUAACUUCUUGCAUCAUAUCCGUCUUCUCUUUGCGUAACCAAUUUCUAUCUCAGCUUCCAUUUGAAUUGUUGUUCACUGAUUUGUUACCUGCUGAGACUAAUUAGACUGCCACCUUGGAAUGUUCUUCAAAUGCAACCUCUUGCUAGACCCUUCAACAUCGUUCACUUGCAAACACCCAUCUGUCCCAAUAAAUCUUGAGAAAUCCCUGAAUCAAACUACAGAAACCAGUAAAAGAGAAUGCACAAGAAAUUGAACACCACCAAAACAACAGAGAAACCAUGUGUGUUGUUAUUUUUUGUUCACAAGAGUAGGGCCAAAACAUCAACCAAGGCCUAACCUUUCAGCUUUCACCCUUCACCCAAUCAUCUUCUUCCUCAACAUGAAAAACAAGAACAUCAAGAAAAAAAAAAUCGAUAAUGAGUCGAUCGAUUACCUGAUUCUUAGUUGGAGCCAUGGAGAAGAAAAGUGGUGGAUGCUACAACAAGUCAGUGCGAGAGAAGUAGCAGGUGAUCAAGAGCACAAUAGCUUAUUACAAAUGUCAUACAAACCUAUAGUCUAAUAAUAACAACUUGAUAUUAUAUAAAUACCGAAUAUAACAAACAUUCCAAGAUUGAAAUUAUAAAUCCACAUUACAAACACAGAUACAAAUAUUCACUGAUAAACACAUAUUCAAGAACUACUUGGAUUCCAAGGAUCUAUGUGGCUUCUUGUCCUCUCUUCAUCUUGGCAACUCUUACCACGAUUGCAACGUAUAUCUUGUCCACAGUUUCAUCAGCAAACAUGAAAAUCUUGUGUCUCCAGUGCUUCUUCAACAACAGAACUCCAAUAACACCCCAAAACCCUGUUGCAAAACCACUCAUAAUAUCUAGGUAAAACCACCAUACCUUGAUCGACUUGUCAGCUGCUUUAUGUUUCUUCUUGGGCUUUGCUGUUGUUGUUGGGUCUUGAUGAUCUGAGCAAUUGUUUGGCAAUGGAGGUCCACAAAGAUCUUCGUUCCCAGCAUAUAUUGAUGGAUCAUAAAUAAGGGUCUGCAACUGAUGGCCUGUUGGAAUUCGUCCCGACAAGUUGUUGUGUGACAGAUUCAGAUGGCUCAAAAAAGUCAAAGCUGCCAUGCUUGGAGGGAUCAUCCCGGUCAACUUGUUUCCAGAUAAAUCGAGAGAUUCUAACCUCGUCAUGUUCCCAAUGUUUUCUGGAAUCAUCCCACUGAGAUGAUUAUUUGACAGAUUCAGACCAAUCAGCAUAGAAAGUGCUGUGAGGUUGACCGGAAUUUCUCCUACAAGUUUAUUGCUCGAAAGGUCCAUGUUGAAAACUAUAUCCCAAGUUUUUGUAUAUUCAAGAUCAACACCUUUCAUCACCUGAAUCACAUUCUCGUUGGGAUCAAGAGUGUCAUUAUACCGCUGUUCUGCACCCUUAACCAUGGCACUCAACUCUCUUAGGCAAUGAGGGAUGAUACCUGUGAAGUUGUUGUGUGCAACAUCCAAAAUUUGAAGUUUCGACAUUUUGCACAAAGAUUCUGGAAUUUCCCCAGUGAAUUUAUUCCCAUGUAACCUUAAAACCAUCAAAUCUGUCAGCUUUUCUCCGAUCCAGUGGGGUAUGUUUCCGAACAGUUGAUUAUCACCCACAUCUAACACUCUUAAAGCUCGUAAAUUCCCCAACUCUCGAGGAAGUUCACCAAUGAAGUUAUUGCCAUUCAAUGUUAACCAAUACAAUGAUGAAUGAUUAUUUGCUAUAUAACUUGGAAUGACACCUGAAAGCAAAUUUGAACCAAAUCUCAUGGUUUCCAGCCAUAAUAGAUUCUGGAGACACUUGGGAAUUUUCCCUGUUAACCUAUUUCUGGAAAGAUCAAGAUAUUUCAAAUUUGUCCAUCUGCACAAGGACCUUGGAAUCGACUCAUUGAAAAUGUUAUUUGCUAGUAUUAAUUCCCAUUCUAUUUCUGGAAGGUUUUUCAAUGGUCCGCUGAGUUUGUUGUGAGAGAGAUCCAAGAAAGCAAUGACAGGCAUCUUCCGCAACCAUGUGGGCAGAGGUCCCGAAAUUGAAGCAUUCGACAACACUAACUCAGAGAGCUCCCUUUGAUUUCGUAGCCACUGCGGAAAUCCAUUUGCAAUAUUGCAAGAACCGAGAUAAAGAAAUCGCAAUUGGAAUGGAGGAAUCCACUCACAUGAAACAUUGAAUGUCAACUUGGUGUUAGAAGAAGCAUCCAAGGCACUCAACAUCGCAAGGUUAGCAAAAUGGGCUUCAGAAACUACUCCUUCUAAAGAAUUGUCUGAGAUAUCUAGCAAACUGAGUUCGGCAAGUUGCCCAAUGGAAACCGGAAUAGUCCCAUUUAACAAAUUUGAAGACAUCCUAAUUUCUUGUAAUGAAACAAGUCUUCCUAGAGAUGCUGGGAUGGGGCCUGUUAAGUGAUUGGAUUGUAGAUACAAAGAUUCUAAAGCUGCAAGAUUUCCAAAGGAUUCUGGAAUUGAACCAUUCAAUUGGUUAUAAGAAAGGUCAAGUCUGGAAAGAUUCCCAAGGAAUGUAGGAAUGGGACCGGUUAACCGGUUAUGAGAUAAAUAUAAUUCUUCUAAAUAUCUUAAUCUUCCUAGAGAUUCGGGGAUUGGACCUGUCAAACUGCUCAUUGAUAGAUCUAAGUGUCUUAAAUUGGUUAGUCUUCCAAAUGCUUCUGGAAUCGUACCAUUCAAACACCCACUUAAAUCCAACCACUCCAAAGCAUAUUGGGAGCAUUCUGAAACGUUUUGCGGUGGGUCAAUCCUUUCUAUUUCAAAAGGAUUCCUCAAUGCAAACAACUGUUUCAGGUGACACUGUCUCCAGAUUCCAACAUCCUCAAUAUUCUUAAACUGGUUAACAGAGAGAUCAAGCUCUAGAAGGUUAGCCAUAAUAGGAACCGAAGAAUGCAGCAUGUUUCCUGAGAGAUCAAGGACUCUUAAGGAACUCAUGUUACUGAAAACAGAUGGAAAUAUGCCUUCAAUUGAAUUUCGGCUAAGAUCCAGGUGUUGGAUGUUAGAAAGCAUACUGAUAUUAAAAUGAGCGGAAGAUAGAAAAGUCUUAUUAUCUAGCCAACAACUUGAAAAAUGCAGCUCUGAUAAAGAGGAAGGGAUCAUGUUUAGCAAGUUUGCAAAGUUCCAUGCCAAACUAAGACUAAAACCAGAAAGAUCCAGAAAUUCAAGGGAUGUCAUGUUUCGGAAGAAUCCAGGGAGUGGACCUUUGAAAGAAUUGGAGCCAAGAUCAAGGUGUUUUAUGUUGGCAAGAAUUCUACUUGAAUUAAGAAAAGGACCAAGAUGGACAUUGGAAAGUCCACAACCACGCAAACUUAACUCUUUUAACGAAGGAAGAUUGUAAAGCACCAUGCCCAUGUUCUUUGCUCCGCCAAGAUCCACAUCACUCAAGUCGAGAUGCUCGAGUGAUGUAACGCCAAAAGUCCAUGACAUAUCAUCUGACAUCAGCUCAUCAUUCCAACUGAGAUCCAAAACCUUUAAAUUAGAAAGAUUUCCAAUGUGGGGAGGAAUAAUACCUUGAAAACCAGCAGCAGAGAGAUUGAGGUACAUCAGCUGUUUGAAGGAUCCAAUGAACUCAGGGAACCGGCUUCCUCCAAAAUCAUUCUGACUCAAGUCCAGGUACUUGAGAUGCCUCAACUCAGCCAAUGAAGAGUUCACCUCAUAACUAACUAAGUAGCUUUCUCCUUCACCAAAAUAGUAAUCUCCUCUGAGAUUGAGGCUGUCAACGGUUCCAGUGAGACUGUCACAGUGGAUUCUUUCCCACUGGCAACAAUCCUUACCCACCCAUGAAGACAACAUUCCGUAACGAUCUUCGAUGACACUCCCUUUGAACCUGAGAAGAGCAAGUCGUUCNNNNNNNNNNNNNNNNNNNNNNNNNNNNNNNNNNNNNNNNNNNNNNNNNNNNNNNNNNNNNNNNNNNNNNNNNNNNNNNNNNNNNNNNNNNNNNNNNNNNAAGAAUCCUUGGAAAACUUGGAAGCCAAUGGAAAUUGUGCCCAGAAUUACACUCCUCUAGUGACUAGUCCCUAUGCACACGGAAAUGUCCUAGGGAUACAAAAAUUGUUCUAACACAACUUUAUUUGAAUAAGAAAUAUCCAUUGGUAGUUUGCAGCACAUUUAAGUGUGAUUUAAACAAGUCAUUAGUAUAUUUUGCUAAUCAUACAAGACUUGAUAUCUCGUUCUCUGUAGAUUUAGUUUGUUGGUCCGGAAGUAUCACAUCAAUGUACAUGUAUAUGUAUUUUAGUGUAUCUAUAUGUAUAUCAAUGUAUGUGUGUGAGUAUUUGUUGGUGUAUCAAUGUACAUGUAAUAUACUAAUAUGUCUACCAAUGGAUCCUACAAACAUGUUUAACUUUAACAUCACCCGUAAUAUUGUUCUUAUGAGACAUGACAAACACACAUUUCAUAAAGGAACAACAUAACAUGUCAAGUGUACUAACCUUUAGAAGAUGUUGCAAUCAGCAUAAUUAAUGCUUGAAACUUGAUACAACCACUGAGACAUCCAAUAUGAUCAACAAGUCACCUGAAACACCACAAAAGCAAUCAACAAAAAUGCUUAAUACCACCAAACUCAACAACAACAAUCACCAGCAACCACAUAUAUGAUAAACAGUAAUUAUGAUAAACAAACAAGCUUACUCAUUAUUAUCAGAUAGUCAAUUCAUUCUGCUACAUAUAUGAUCUCUACUUUUGGUAUAUGUUCAAAACAAAACCAAAGAAGAAAUGCACAAAAAUUAUCACUACAAAAGAAAACUUGAAGAAACAAGGUUAGGGACACUAGAAAACAUAUGAUGUAAAUAAUGAUCGAGAGCAUGUACAUUGCACCCUUGAAUAUAGCAAUCAAGAAUCAUCACUGCACAAGUUAACUGCAAGAAGCAAUAUGGUACAAAUAUCUGACUUAGAAAGAAUAGUGCCUACUGAAAAAGGUAUACAGAACUCAAACUUUAUCUCAUACAUUUUCAUAAGAAUAUAGCUUAUCAGUGUUAAUUAUGAAGUAUACUUAGUUUAACUUGUUAAUACUAUAAUUUAACAGUUCUUAUUAUGGUUAAUAUUGAAAGAGAAAAAAUGAAAACAAAUAUAUUCCACUUUUAUUGUUAUUCCAUGGAAAACAAAACUAGUAUCAAGAAUUCAGGAAUGAAUAUCAGUCUAACAAACAGUGGCAUGAAGUAACUAUAUUCAGGUUAACUUAAUUUAAUUAAUAUUAUCAAUUCUUAUAUAUGAUAAGUUCAAAUGUUAAUUAACAUAUUCCAUAACUGAUAUUUUGUAAUUUUUACAUAUGUACUAUCAUAGAAACAUCACAGAUUUAAUCUAAUGAAAGAGAAAGAGUGUAAAACAAAAAACGAUGUCUUUAUCAAUGCCAUAAAUCAUGAAGAUUUUAUUUUCAUUUCCUAAAAUAUAACUUCUCAAAGAACUUCUGCUUAACCCUCAACUUUCAUUUUACCCUCAGUCGGUCCUCUAAGUUGCACUUCUUCAUGAAAUUAAAUACAGUAUGAUUUUGAGGGACAAUUCCAACCCAUUUAUAGGUAAAUGGACGGUCAUUAAAUGUUUAUUAAAAUUUAAAAGAUUAAUAUUUUACCUUUUUAAAUUAUUUUAUAACAGCUUUCCUGAAAUUUUUACUUUUUACUAGCUAAAAUAGGAUAUCCAUAUAUAAAGAUUUCUCUUUAUAAAACCCAUUAUUCAACCGAUGAAAAAAAAACAAAAUACAAACAUUGAUUUUUCCUUCUAUUAAGUCGAUGAAAUAACAAUUCAAUGGAAAAAACAAUAUCACAAAUAUGCUUUAAGAUAAAUUUUCAUGAUUAUCAAUAAUAUCAAUAUAAAAGAAGCUUUGAAAUGGUGAAUCUAUAUUUGUUCAACUAAUUGUUAGAUACGUAUAAAAAAAAUUGAACUGGGCAUGUAACCUUUACACAUUAUUUGGUACUCUCUCUUUAUUAGAACUAAUGCUGAUUUUUAUUAAAUGACAAUGUUGUUAUUUACCAAAUUUCAUUUCAUUUAAACGUCUAUAAAUACAAACUAAAAAACAUGUUGGAAUAGUUCAUUUCGAUCCUAUAGACCAAAGAAACAUGAUAGUGAAAUGAUAAUUAUCUAUCUUAUUGCCAUGUUCUUUAGAUUUCUACGUUCAUUCAAUUAUUUGUGAUUCCACCCAAGCCUAAUGCCCCAUAGAUCGUUCGAACUGUAUAUGAACAACAAUCAAGUUUAGCUCAAAUGGUAAAAAGCACCUACCUGAGUUCCCUUUGUUGAAAAAUAGGAGAUAAAAAAUACCAACGAAAAACUAUAAGUUUUCAUUCAAUGACUUUAAAGUCAACAAAAAACUAUAAACUUGAUUUUGACAUAUAAAAGUUUUACAAAACUAACUUGAAGUUUUUGAUUAUUCAACUUUAACAGAUUAUGAGGAGNGAUUAUGAGGGACAGAAUCUCAUGUGGUAGAAGCAACUACUUUUUAUUAGGUUAUCAGUCUCACAAUAUAAGAAAUAUUGACUUGCAUAUGAUGGAUCUUGCUACUGCCUAUUUGUAGUUUUGUACUCCUCCCAUGAUACCAAUCUUUUAUAUAAACCUUUACCUCCCUCAAAAGAUUUAAACCACCAUAAACAAGUAAGAUGGGAUCUCAAGAACACUAUUUGAUCAAAUUAAACAAGUCAUUACAUAUUUUGUUGCUAAUCAUACAAGACUUGACUUUGGUUAAGACCCCUUUCAACCUUUUAAAGAUUCCAAGGAAAUUGGUGGUCCAAAGCACAUUUAAGUGUCAUUUAAACAAGUCAUUAAUAUAUCUUGCUAAUAAUACAAGAUUUGAUAUAUCGUUCUCUGUAGAUUUUAGUGUAUCUAAUGUAUGAGACAUGACAAUUGACAAACACACAUUUCAUAAAGGAACAACAUAACAUGUCAAGUGUACUAACCUUUAGAAGAUGCUGCAAUCAGCAUAAAUGAUUGAUACUUGAUAACAACCACUAAGACAUCCAAUAUGUCACCUGAAACACCACAAAAGCAAUCAACAAAAAUGCUUAAUACCACCAAACUCAACAACAACAAUUACCAGCAACCGCAUAUAUGAUACCAUUGCAUUCUAUUUGGGAGAGAAUAAAUAGUUCGCUUUCUUGGUAAUUAUGAUAAACAAACAAGUUUACUCAUUAUAAUUAUCAGAUAAUAAAUUCAUUCUACUUACUGUAUAUAAGCUAUGUUCAAAACAAAACGAAUGAAGAAAUGCACAAAAUUCAUCACUAUGCAAAAUUUAACUGGAGGCACAAGUUUAGAGACACUAGAAAGCAUGUCAUCAUGUACAUAAUGAUCGAGAACAUGUGCAACCAUGAACAUAGCAAUCAAGAAUCAUCACUACACAAGUUAACUGGAAGAAGCAUAAUGGUACAAAUAUCUAACAUAGAAAGGAAAGUACCUACAGAAAAAGGUAUACAGAACUCAAACUUUAUCUCAUACAUUUUCAUAAGAAUAUAGCUUGUUAAUGCACAAACUCACCAACUUUCCUAGAAACUAUUAUGUCUUUUCUUGUUUACAUAAAUCCUCCCAGAUACCAUUGAUAUACAAUGCUUAACAUAGAAAUUAAUAAGAUGAAUCAUUGAGAUCAAAUAUAUUCAUGUUAACCUUUGGAAGAAUGAAUACCAGUUACGGAUGUGAUAUUGCUAACCCAAACAAAGAUAUACACACUGAUGAGCAGAUAAUUACAUGUUAUGUGCUGAUAAAUAGUAUGUAUAUCAUUAUUAAGUAACCUUAACUUAACCAAAACAUUAAUAAAUACAAAUUACAAUCUCAAUAUGUAUCAUCUAUUACUAUUUCUUGAAUUUUUACCCCAUUCUAAUGGGAUUCCAGGGAUCUGUUUAUAUUGCUGUUUUGUAGUGUCAGUGUAUUUGUUUAAAUUUUUAUUUUCUUCUAUUUUUUUUUUUAAAGUUACUGUAAUGAUUAUGAAAGUUCAAGUUUCCACAUAUCUUUGCUUUAUAAAUGUGUUCUUCAACUACCACAUCUCUUCAAAGUUAUAACCAAAUUUGACAGUUACAAAUGUUCUUUAUCUGAAAAAUAUUACAUCUGACUAGGAAUAAAAAAUUUCUAUGUGGAAGAAGGUAUGCAAGACCUUAACUUCUGUAAGUAUUAAUCUAUUAACUUAAAUAUUUACACUUUAGUAUUUGGGAAUUUAUUUUAUUGCUUAUUUAUUUUUUAAGAAUAUACGUACUUGAAGUAAAAAGUAACUGUGGCCAAAAAGGUUUUCUUCUAUGUUAACAGCACCGGUUAUUUGCAUGUUUAUUGUAGCAUUUGAGUAUCUAUUCGUUUAUCCCUAAAAACCAAAUAAAUUCAUCCCAAUUUUAAACUUGAUUGUUCAUUAUUCAAACUCAGAGCAGCACAACCAAUGCAGAAGAACCAAUUCUAUAAUUAAUGUUUUUUUUUUCAGUGUGCAAGAGCAAAAAUCUCAUGUACUUGUAUUGCUGCAGCAACUAAUACUCAAGAAUUAAUGUGUUUUGAUCAAAAUAAGUGAUUGGUUUGAAAUAAUACGAGUGUAAGCACCAAAGGGUCUACUGACAAGCAGGGGAGAUAAUUUAGUUUAAAGCAUUUGCUACAUUUGCUACAGAUUAUCGUUUGACAUCAGGUAUGUUAAUACAUCUGGAUCAUUUGAAACAUAUAAAUAUAUAAAUGCAUCAUUUUCAAUGACGCUAAAUUACAAUCUUCUUUGUCUUUGUGCUACCGGUCUCAAUAUGUGAGAAUUAGGUCAAAUAGAAAAAAGAUUGGAAAAACUUACCAGGUAAAUGUCGAUAACGACUGAGGAAUGAAGGAGAGAGAGAUGAAUUAGAAAUCGAUGGCUUAGCAUUGUCCUUUUCCUCAACUCCUCGCUGGUGGUGGCGGAGGAUAGCGCCUGAGAACGCAAUCGAGGUGCGAGGAAUAUACAAAAUUUGGGGAAAUUGUGUGUGGACAUGUGGGUACUGGAGUGAAAAAUAGAACGCUUCAAAUACUUUUUUUUUUGUUUUUUUUUUUUUUUUUAACUUUCAUAAAUACUAUUUUUAUUUCUAGAUUUUCAUAAAUUUAUCUAGAACCUUUUUUGGUACAAUAACUUUUAAAAUUAUAUUACUAAAUAAAUUUAAUUAAAAUAUCAAAUAAAUAAUUUGUUUAUAAAUAAUUAAAGUUAAUUGUGAAAUUAUCUAAAAAAACAUUACAUUAAAUAACAAAAUUAUUAAUGUAAAUAUUUACUAGACAAAGUUCUUAAUUAUUCUUAAGUAUGUUGAUGUGCAAUACAUUGUAUUUGACGCGUCACAGUUAGCUGAUAAGUUAACUGAUAAACUAGUUUAUUUUUCGAGUUUUUUUAAACUGUCAUGUUUGGAUUACCAAAUAUACCACUUACUUAAUUACAAAAAUGUCUUUUUUUUUAAAUUGUUUUAUUAAGUCGUUUUAUAUUUUUCAGUUAACUUUUCAGCUAAUUUUACCAUAUAAUAUUUUUUUUAUCAUCACCAUUUAGUAAAAACUAAAAUAUUUACUAAAACUUUAUUAUGACAAUCAUGACAUGCCUUCAACUUCAGUGAGUUAAGGUAUUUAUGCAAAAAUACUAAUCUACUACAUAAUAGAUAAUCUUUUUACUACAACAUCUUAUGCAAAGAUGUCACGCCUUGAUAAUUGAAUUGCCAAACAAUUUUCGAGAUAAUCAAAUCAUUUUGUCAUCAUUAGUUCGUAACUACUAAUUGCAUGCCACUCAAGCAUUUUAUACAACACAAAAGUAGUUUGUCUAUACAAGUUUAAACAGAGGCACAUGUUGUGAACAACCUCUAAAACUACAUGUUUACAUGUUUAACCGCCACUAUCAUGCACAUAUUGUAACAACCAUAAAAUUCGAGCCAAAUUAAAACAUUUUAAUUCAUUCAAAACCAUUAAGUUCAUACAUUUGUUUUCAAAAUAGUUUAAUCAGAGUAUUUCCAAAACCCAUAUCACAUAAGUCAUAAAACAUGAGGAGCAGUACGAUCACGCAUUCGUCUUGCCACGGUCUCCUGAAGUACCUGAAAUAAUACACUGAAACUGUAAGCCCGAAAGCUUAGUGAGUUACCCCUAAAAUACCAACCACAAUACCAUACACAUAGCAUAUCAUAUCAUAAACACAACAGUCAUUCAUAUCGAGUCUACAAUGUGACUGGUCCGCCUACACCAGGCCUUCAGUCCACCUAGUCCACUCUCUAAGUCUACAGUAUGACUGGUCUGCCCGCACCGGGCCUUCAGACUGUCUGGUCCACUCUCCGAACCUCGGCACGUCUGGUCCGUCCUCUUAGGGCCUUCCGCCUAUCCGGACCGCUCGUCGGCCCUUCGGUCUAACCGGUCCGCCCUGGGUAUGUUGGCCUACAGCACAUAGCAUGACCCGCCUCAACCCAACCUCAGUCCAAACAACCAUGUGCACAUAAACAUAUAAUCAUAUAAUAAUUCACAUCUAAUCAAACUGAUCUAGUAGAUCACAUAUCAUAGCAACAUACUAACCAGGAUACUGACCUAACCAGUCACUAACAUAGUAUCAUCCUAUAUACCAAGAUACCGACCUUAACCAGGUCUCUAACAUAGCAUCAUCAUAUAUAUACCAGGAUACAGACAUAGCAAGCAAUAACAUAUCAAACAGAUACCCAUAUUUCAAUCCGAGAAAGGGUUGGCCUUGGUGCCUUAGACCCUGUCGAUAUAGUGAGGAUAACUCACCUGCAACUGCCGACUUGAAGAAAUAAGACCACAUUGCUUCGACCACCAGCACGAACUCCACCACUGAUCAUUACCAAUUAACCAAAACCAAUAAACACGAAUAAUUACCAAAAUACCCUUGAAAGUCAAACUGGUCAACCCUUGGUCCAAGUCAAAGUCCUCAGUCAAAGUCAACCUUCCUGGUUGACCCUACUCGUCGAGUCAACCCGUUGACUCGUCGAGUUCCUAUGCUCAGAAACUCCCAUGCCACGAUUCAAAUCGCCAAGUCGCCCCAAGACUCGUCAAGUCCAACAAGCUCUAAGUCCUUUCCUGCUCAACUCACCGAGUCAUCCCUCGACUCACCGAUUCACAACUCAACCAGAAAAGGUUAGGACUUCACGACCAGACUCGCCGAGUCCAAGAACAGACUCACCGAGUCCGAGGCAAUCUUCAACAGAGUCGUCGAGUUGUUCUUCCAACUCAUCGAGUUCCUACCCAUCUUUAUACAAUUCGCCGAGUCCACCCAUGUGACUCGCCGAGUUACUAUGCGACUCAAGUCUAAUAUCUAGCCCGACUCACCGAGUCAUCUCCCAGACUCAUCGAGUCCAUACAUAACAUCUUCAUUCAGACGAUUUCAGGCCAUUUCAUUACUUCCAAAACAUAGAUCUAGACUCCUAGGGCCAGAUUCACACGUAAAGUUUCCAACUUUACGUGCAUGCAAGGCUCAACAAGCUCCAAUCAAGCUAUAAGGAGGUUUUGGGACAAAGAUACUCUAAAUCAAACCCCAUGGCUAAUGCUUUAGGCUUUCAUAGCUCACUAUUAACCUAGAUCUGAAGUUGCAACUUCAUAUCUAACCUCUAAACCCAAAAUGGGUUCCAAUCAAGCUAAAAUUCCCAAAACAACCAAGAAUGGAUCUAGAAGUAUAAAACUCAAGGUAACGACUUGUUACCUCAGAAAUGUGCCCAAGAAGAAGUAAAUUUCGAAUCUACAAUGAUCUCCCGAUGCUAGCAUCUUGAUAUUCUAACUUUCUUGUCUUAAAUUCUUCUUCCAAGCUCAAACUUUAACAAUGGAGGCUCAUACACACUAAUUAGGGUUUCUAGAACUCAAAUGGGCAGAAAAGAGGCUGAGGGUGGCUAUAAUGUUCUUUAUAUAGGGUACAACUUCCGGGAUUAGGGUUUUCUCCCUUUAGCACCAACUUGUCGAGUCCAUCUGCCGACUCGGCGAGUUGGCCACUUAACCCGUAACAAAAUUCCGCUCAGACUCGGCGAGUAAGAGGACCUACUCGUCGAGUCCCUGACUUAAUUUACACUCUACUCCCUGGAACUCUUGCUUCUAACUUGGUAUGUUACAAUUCUCCCCCACUUAAAUUAGGCUUCGUCCUCGAAGCCUGCUGCAGCACAAAAUUCCAAAAUAAUAAUCCCACGAUGAAACUUCGGAUCUCAACUGACUCAGAUUCCUCCAAACACUACCAUCAAAUCUCAUAGAAUCCAACUCUUUCUCUGUAGAUUUCUGACAAUUGCUCCAAACUGGCUACCUGCUUUCUCCUACUGAUAACAGCACUUAUCAACUCAGGGUCACCCAGAGGAUACAUUCUUAUUUCUGAAUUUUCCCACUUCGCCUCGCGCGAAACUAGAUAUCAUUACAACGUACCGGUCCUGACCCGAUACCAAUUCGUUACCCCUUGCCCAAACCGGCACUACUUCUAUUGAAUUGCACUGCUGGGAACUCAUCCCGAUUUCUUCUUGAAACAACUCUUUCUUUCCAUGCUAACAGGAUGAUAAAUCCUACAGCUCCUGAGCAACUCCUAUGAGCUCCCAUUUACAAACAUAUACACAUAUUGAACCUGAUCCAACAUCCUUGGGCUGGAAAGACCCGACACACUGACGAUACCUCCAGACAUCCCCCGGAUGAAAUACCACUACAUACAUAACCUCCUAAUCACAACCCUACUGAAAAUCCAAGACUUCAUCCUUGUAUCCCUUCCGAACUCCUCUGGUUCUACACCACCGGAAAUUCUUCCGCGGCCUCAACGGACACCCAACCCGUAUGUGCUUUCAUACCACUGGUACAAACACAAUGCUCAAUAAUCAUAAUUGGAAUACUUUCAAUCAUCCAUCCAUACUAAUGCUUCCACUGCAGUGAACCAACACUCCUUCUCGGAGCUACAUACCCUUCCCUUUCCUUAUCCAAGGAAACCUACUCGACGACCUUACCACAACAACAAGUGCCACGAUGCUCACACCCCACUCUACACUAUCCCUUAUAGAGUAACUGAUAUUCCAUGCAUCACAUAUACUCUGAAUCCGAUCACAAGGGCUAUCAAAGUCCAUACACCACAUUUUACUAACAUAAUCAAUACCCGAGGCCAGACCUACUGGUUGCUAUUGCAUCACAACAUACUCAAGCCAUCUCCUCAUAUAGACCUUUCCACACCUUUUACUAACAUAAUCAAUACCCGGGGCUAGACCUACUGGUUGCUAUUGCAUCACAACAUACUCAACCAUCUCCUCAUAUAGAUCUAUCCACACAUACAGAGUCUUUAACAUGACUGGACCGCCUUACCAGGCCUUCAGCCAAUCCAGACCAUUCUCAGAACCUUCAGCAUGUCUGGCCCACCCUCCAGGGCCUUCACUCUGUCUGGACCGUUCUCCGAGCCUUCGUGCAAUUUACUCUAGUUUUUUCUUUUAAAUUUGAUACCAAUGUUUUUGCAAAUGUUUUUGGCUUUUAACAAAUUGGUGGUAGUGAAUUGGAACACCAUUGAGGAAUACUCUAUGGCCAUUGGCGUACGUAAAUGCAUUUGGCAAAAAAAAAGUCUUCCAAACAAAGACCUUGAAGUCAACAAAGCAGACCCACUAAUCACACUCAUACACAAAAAAAAAAAAAAAAAAAAAAAAAAAAAAAAAAAAAAAAAAAAGGACAUGACUGAUGCACUAAGUAAGCAUCUUUCUUGUGGAAUUUUCCAUGAAACUUCUCCCUAUCAAAUGUAUUCAUCUUUAAUAUAAUUAUAAGUAUCUUUUAAAUCUAAAAUAAAUUACAAUCAUAUUUUAACCUAAAAUAUCUUUAAUAUAACUACUUUUAAAGAUUAAUGAAAUUAUAUACCAAUAGUUUUUAAGUAAACACACGAAUGGUGUCUGUGAUUUCAGGUAAUUAGCGUGUAUUGUUCUUUAACAGUUUUUUUAAACUUGGACGGUCCCUAUGGUUUGGUUUUGUUUCGGGUUUGGUACCCAACAAAGUUAAUAUGACUAUCUUGCACUUAAUGAUAUUUUUCUAUAAUUUUUAAUUCAUUUUUUAUUAUUAUGUUAUUAUUAAAUAGAGUAAAUUAUUAAUGUCAAAUGAUACUUCACCAAACACCAGAUGCUGCCCUUAAAACCACCUACCCCACCAUUGCAAAAGAUUGAAGGAUCCAGCCUCACACCAUUUUCCCCUCUGUUACAGACAAAAAACAACAUCAUCAUCCAUUCCUGAUGAAAAUCAAAUUCAUACCAAGUUCACUCGAUCAGAUAUAUAAUCUCAACUCUCGUAAAAAUGUUAAAAAAAAGAAAUGAAAGACAGAAUUUGACAUUACGGUUUUAUUAGACAUGACAAUUUCAACCCAUUUACUUGAAAAUAGGCACUAAAAAUGACCUAAAUAAACAAUACAAAAUGAAGCAAUUAGAAACAGUUAGUCAUGAAACAAUAUAUACAAGGUUCAGGCAAAACGUCUAAUGCACUUGAAUUAGACAGAAUUCGGGAAUAAAACAAUUUAAACACAUAAUUAAUACUGGGGAUGCGUCAAGAAAAAAUCAAAAAUUAAAAAACAUGGAAAGCAACAUAACCCAUGAGAUAAUGUAUAUAGAAGAGCUUUUUAAGGUUUCCUAGGUUAAACCAACAUAAAUAAAUAUUAUAGCAUCUCACUUUCAUUUGUUUAACCAUAACAUUGUAUUUUCAUUUUUUUUUUUCUUAUUAUGGCAUUGUGCUUUGAAAUGUGCACCCAGUUAUAAUAUUGUUCUUCAAAAAUAAUUCUUAUUAGCAUGCUGUACUUAGAAAAUCAUCCAAAUAAUAGCAGUGAGAAUUGCUUUUUACAAUGUUCAGGCAGAAUACAAUAUGCGACACUCACUCGGAAGAAGAGUUGCUGAUUUUGAGUUCUUUACCAAAUUUACAGUUAUUAAAACUGAAUAAGACUAUUGCCACAUGCUACAACUCACAUCUUUAAGGUUGUUAUUCAUUUCAGUUGCAACUAGUGCCAUCUCUAAUGUGUAUAACAUGAAAUAUCUGUGUUGACGUUUACAUGAAAAUAAACUAUUACCCUUUUUCUGUAAAAAAAAGGCAAUUGAUAUCAUGAACCAUAUCAGUCUUAUAAUCACAGCUGUAGUCGUAUUUACUUAUCGUCAUGGAAAACAAUCUAUAUCCACAAACUUGUAUUUUUUGGUCUUGGGAUAAUUUUCAAUUUUUCUUGAUCAAUAUAAGUGGUUUUGGGCUACUUUCCAUGAAAUACGUAAUUCUAUUUAAUCAGUUAGAAGUCACUACUACAAAAGACUUGGAAGCCAAUGGACAGUUUGCAGCCACAAACUGGUAAGCUCUGGGCCUCGCCUAUCUUUUUCUUUUUUUUAUCAAUCAAAAUUAAAUGGUGUAUACGGCACCUAUAGUUAGCAUGUUACAAUCAUAUUUUAUCCUAAAAUAUCUUAAAUAUAAUUAGAUUUAUACAUUAAAGAAAUUAUAUAAUAGUUUUUUGAGUAAACCACAUAAUGGAGUCCUGUGGUUUCGGUUUUGGUCCCCAACCGAGUUAAUAUGACUAUCUUGCCCUCAAUGAUAAAUUUCUGUAAGUUUUUAAAUCAUUUUUUAUUAUGUUAUUAUUAUUAAAUAGAGUAAAGAAUUAUUAACGUCUAAAAUGGACCCACCCAUCAACCCCACGUCGCUUGUCUUCAUCAGAGAAAUAUCACGGCCGCCAGUUUCAAAUUUCAAUGGUCUAAAAUGGUCACUCGUUGGAGUAAAAAGAAGUGAUCUAGGACUGUGGAGUAAAGAGACCUUGAGGAGAUAACAAGAGUGUGGGAGUGGGGGCAUUGUAGGACCCAAUGUUUUAAUAAUAAUAAAAAUAAUGUAUAUAAAAUAAUUAACAAAUAAAAAAUCUAGUAAGGGCAAAAAAGCAUUUUUAGGACAAGAAUCGUAACAAAACAAUACCACAUGGAUAGUCCGAGUUAAAUCCAACUUUGAAGUCAACAAAGUAAACCCCAAAUAAAAUAAGAAAAAAAAAACUUCUAUUUAACCAUAUCUUAAAAAAAAAAAAGGAUCAUCAAAGUAAUAUUUAUCGUUAAUUUAAUAAAUCAAAUUUGUAAACAUAAAAAUAUUGAAAACAUUUGAAAAGGAUUUGUGUGAAUAAAAGAUACCAAAUAAAGCAAACCUUACAUCAGUACAAAAGUUAACAAAAUUGAAAGAAUUACAAAUUUCUACAGGAAUACCAUAUUCCAUUCCAUCAGACACAACAAACAUACUUUCAGAAUCCAAUGUAAUAAACGAUUCCGAUUCCAUCAAACCAGAAAACGAAAAUAAAAAUUAGGGUUUACCUGAGUGUGAGCAAGAACACGGAUGACAUUGCAGUACUUCUUCAUCUUCUCCAGCUGUGACUGGAUGUCUCUCUUUCCUGUUUCAGUUUCAUCUUUCUUUGAAUAAUUUGUAAAAGCUUUCUUUUUUUGAUUUGCACUCAGAUGCUUUUAUAAAAUCUCCUCUUGAUGUCUUCACUCAGAUGCUGGGCCCACACUGUGUUCGAGCUGCGGAGCCCACGUGGGGUCUUGACAUACCCCAACAACCACCAUUGGGGGUGUUUCAAUGAUUGUCACUGCCUCACAUGUCUCUUUCUUGUGGAGUUCUAAGAUAAAAGGAAUGAAAAUUUAUUACACAUAAAGUAGUAAAUAGUAUGCUAUCCUUCUGAACUUUUAUGGUAUUUAUCGAUGAAGUGCAGAGAAGUAAAAAUUAGUUGGUAAAUUGUAUUUACAGUCGCCAAGUUUAGCUGAUUUUUCAGUUUUAGUACAAAGAAGACCACAUGUAAUUUUGGUCCUUAUUUUGAGGUUUUGGUAAUACUCUGUGCCUCUUUUUUUAAAUAUAUACCAACACCAAAACAUAAGAGAUUAUGGUUAACGGAAGAGAAAUAUAACAAACAUUUUAAAAUUGAAACCUUUAACAACAUCCACAUUACAAACAUAGAUACAAAUAGUUUCAUUAAAACAAAAACUUCAUUGAUAACAUAUAUCUGAGAAUUACUUGCAUUCCAGAGCGCCUAUACAGCUUCUCUUCCUCUCUUGAUCUUGGCAACGCUUACCAUGACUCCAACGUAUAUCUUGUCCAUGAUUUUCUCAACAAACAUGAAAAGCCUCCAUCUCCACUGCUUCUUCAACAACAGAACUCCAAUUACACCCCAAAAACCUGUUGCAAAUCCACUCAUGAUGUCUGAGUAAAACCACCAUACCUUGAUUGACUCCUCAGCUGCUUUAUGUUUCUUCUUGGGCUUUGCUGUUGUUGUUGGGUCUUGAUGAUCUGAGCAAUUGUUUGUCAAUGGAGGUCCACAAAGAUCUCUGUUCCCAGAAUAUAUUGAUGGAUCAUCAUUAAGGGUCUGCAACUGAUGGCCUGUUGGAAUUCGUCCCCACAAGUUGUUGUGUGACAGAUUCAGAUGGCUCAAAAAAGUCAAAGCUGCCAUGCUUGGAGGGAUCGUCCCGGUCAACUUGUUUCCAGAUAAAUCAAGAGAUUCUAACCUCGUCAUGUUCCCAAUGCUGUCUGGAAUAUUCCCACUGAGAUCAUUAUUUGACAAAUUGAGACCCAACAACAUACGAAGUGCAGUUAGCUCCACUGGUAUAUCUCCAACAAGUUUAUUGCUUGAAAGGUCCAUGUUAUAAACUAUAUCCAAAAUUCUUGCAUAUACAAGAUCAACACCUUUCAUAACCGGAAUCACAUUCUCAUUAGAAUCAGCCCAACCAUUAUUGUCAUACCACUUUUCUGCACCAUUAACCAUUGCAUUCAACUCUCUUAGGCAAUGAGGGAUGAUACCCGUUAAGUUGUUGUAUGCAACAUCCAAAAUUUGAAGAUUUGACAUUUUGCAUAAAGAUUCAGGAAUUUCCCCGGUAAAGUUAUUCUUGUGUAAUCUUAAAACAAUCAAACUUGUCAGGUUUUCUCCAAUCCAGUGGGGUAUCUUUCCAAACAAUUGAUUAUCACCCACAUCUAGGACUCUUAAAUAUCUUAAAUUCCCCAACUCUUGAGGAAGUUCACCAGUAAAGUUGUUGUCAUUUAAUUUUAACCAAUGCAAUGAUGAAUGACUAAGUGCUAUAUAGCUUGGAAUGACACCUGAAAGUAAAUUUGAGCUAAAGAUCAUGGCACCCAACCAUUUCAGAUUCUGGAGACACUUGGGAAUUUUCCCUGUUAACCUAUUUCUGGAAAGAUCAAGUAAAACUAAAUCUGUCAUUCUGCACAACAACUUUGGAAUUGACUCAUUGAAAAUGUUAUUUGCUAGUAUUAAUGCCAGUCCUAUUUCUGGAAGGUUUGUCAAUGGUCCGCUGAGUUUGUUGUGAGAGAGAUCUAAGAAAUCAAUGACAGGCAUCUUCCGCAACCAUGUGGGCAGAGGUCCCGAAAUUGAAGCAUUCGACAACACUAACUCAGAGAGCAAGAACUGAUUUCGUAGCCACUGUGGCAAUCCAUUUGUGAGAUUGCAGGAACUGAGAUCAAGAUGAUACAACUGGAAUGGAGGUAUCCACUCACGUGAGACAUUGAAUGCCAACUUGGUGUUAGAAGAAGCAUCCAAGUGCUCCAACAUCGAAAGGUUAGCAAAAUGGGCUUCAGAAACUACUCCUUCUACGGAAUUGUCUGAGAUAUCUAGAUAUUUGAGUUUGGCAAGUUGCCCAAUUGAAACCGGAAUAGUCCCAUUUAACAAAUUUGAAGAAAGAAAAAUAUCUUGUAAUGCAACAAGUCUUCCUAGAGAUGCUGGGAUGGGGCCCGUUAACCGAUUGGAUCCUAGAUUCAAAUGUGUUAAAGCUGAUAAAUUUCCAAAGGAUUCUGGAAUUGAACCAUUCAAUUGGUUGGAAGAAAGGUCAAGUCUGGAAAGAUUCCCAAUGAAUGUAGGAAUGGGACCGAUCAACUGGUUAUUAGAUAGAUCUAACAUUUCUAAAUGUCUUAGUCUUCCUGCAAAUUCGGGGAUUGGACCUGUCAAACUGCUCAUUGAUAGAUCUAAGUGUCUUAAAUCGGUUAGUCUUCCAAGUGCUUCUGGAAUCGUACCAUUCAAAGAACCACUUAAAUCCAACGACUCCAAAGCAUAUCGGGAGCAUUCCGAUGUGUUUUGUGGUGAGUCAUUCAUUUCUAUUUCAAAAAGAUUUCCAUAUGCAGCCAAUGUUUUCAGGUGACAGUGUCUCCAGAUUCCAACAUCCUCAAUAUUCUUAAAAUGGUUAGAAGAAAGAUAAAGCUCUAGAAGGUCAGGCAUAAUUGGAACCCAAGAAUGCAGCAUGUUUCCUGAGAGAUCAAGGACUCUUAAGGAACUCAUGUUUGUGAAAAAAGAUGGAAUUAUGCCUUCAAUUGAAUUUUGGCUAAGAUCCAGGUGUUGUAUGUUAGAAAGCAUACUGAUAUUAAAAUGAGCGGAGGAUAGAAAAGUCUUAUUAUCUAGCCAACAACUUGAAAAAUGCAGCUCUGAUAAAGAGGAAGGGAUCAUGUUUAGCAAGUUUGCAAAGUUCCAUGACAAACUAAGAUUAAAACCAGAAAGAUCCAGAAAUUCAAGGGAUGUCAUGUUUUGGAAAAAUCCAGGGAGUGAAGUUUUCAAAGAAUUAAAGCCAAGAUCAAGGUGUUGUAUGUUGGCAAGAAUUCUACUCGAAUUAAGAAAAGGACCAAGAUGGACAUUGGAAAGUCCACAACCAUGCAAACUUAACUCUUUUAAUGAACGAAGAUUGUAAAGCACCUUGUCCCAACCACUAAGAUUCAACCAACUCAAGUCAAGAUGCUCGAGUGAUGAAAGGCCAAAAGUCCAUGACAUAUCAUCUGACAUCAGCUCACCAUUCCAACUGAGAUCCAAAACCUUUAAAUUAGAAAGAUUUCCAAUGUGAGGAGGAAUAAUACCUUGAAAACCAG